rnacentral:rRNA from 1 species
CUACGAGCUGCUGCAGUAGGGAAUCUUCGGCAAUGGACGGAAGUCUGACCGAGCAACGCCGCGUGAGUGAAGAAGGUUUUCGGAUCGUAAAGCUCUGUUGUAAGAGAAGAACGAGUGUGAGAGUGGAAAGUUCACACUGUGACGGUAUCUUACCAGAAAGGGACGGCUAACUACGUGCCAGCAGCCGCGGUAAUACGUAGGUCCCGAGCGUUGUCCGGAUUUAUUGGGCGUAAAGCGAGCGCAGGCGGUUAGAUAAGUCUGAAGUUAAAGGCUGUGGCUUAACCAUAGUACGCUUUGGAAACUGUUUAACUUGAGUGCAGAAGGGGAGAGUGGAAUUCCAUGUGUAGCGGUGAAAUGCGUAGAUAUAUGGAGGAACACCGGUGGCGAAAGCGGCUCUCUGGUCUGUAACUGACGCUGAGGCUCGAAAGCGUGGGGAGCAAACAGGAUUAGAUACCCUUGUAGUC